UACGAAGGGGGCUAGCGUUGCUCGGAAUUACUGGGCGUAAAGGGCGCGUAGGCGGCGCUGCAAGUCAGGCGUGAAAUUCCCGGGCUUAACCUGGGGGCUGCGCUUGAGACUGUGGUGCUUGAGGAUGGAAGAGGCUCGUGGAAUUCCCAGUGUAGAGGUGAAAUUCGUAGAUAUUGGGAAGAACACCGGUGGCGAAGGCGGCGAGCUGGUCCAUUACUGACGCUGAGGCGCGACAGCGUGGGGAGCAAACAGG
rnacentral:rRNA from 1 species